rnacentral:rRNA from 1 species
UACGGAGGGGGCGAGCGUUGUCCGAAGUUACUGGGCGUAAAGGGCGCGUAGGCGGCUUGCCAAGUCAGGGGUGAAAUCUUUCGGCUUAACCGGAAAAGUGCCUCUGAUACUGGCGAGCUAGAGGGAGGUAGGGGCAUGUGGAACUUCCGGUGGAGCGGUGAAAUGCGUUGAUAUCGGAAGGAACGCCGGUGGCGAAAGCGACGUGCUGGAUCUCUUCUGACGCUGAGGCGCGAAAGCUAGGGGAGCGAACGGG